rnacentral:sRNA from 1 species
UUUUCCCGUCAGGGCAACUUUCCCCCAUGCUUCCGUGUAACUCCUGGCCCCUGUGUCCGGCACAUGCAGAUUACCUUCAUGGGUUGAUCGGCGUACUGUAACGACAAAUCCACGUUUGAAGAAUACGCUGGACAUUCGCUCCUCAACGGCGCCAAGUUACAUAGCACCGUCUCCCAGCUGCAGGUCCAGCGUCAUCGCUUGCUUGCUUUUCUCCGCCCACCCGCUGUGAGCCUGGUCGUUCAAUCGUCCAAUCUGCGAAGGUCCCACCCCCCAUGACAUGACAUGACAUGACAUGACACGAGAAUGUCUCCGACAGCCCAACUUGAACGU